rnacentral:rRNA from 1 species
GACGAACGCUGGCGGCGUGCUUAACACAUGCAAGUCGAACGGAAAGGCCCCUUUGGGGGUACUCGAGUGGCGAACGGGUGAGUAACACGUGAGUAACCUGCCCUUGACUUCGGGAUAACUUCAGGAAACUGGGGCUAAUACCGGAUAGGAAUCCUUGCUGCAUGGUGGGGGUUGAAAAGCUUCGGCGGUUUUGGAUGGACUCGCGGCUUAUCAGCUUGUUGGUGGGGUAGUGGCUUACCAAGGCUUUGACGGGUAGCCGGCCUGAGAGGGCGACCGGCCACAUUGGGACUGAGAUACGGCCCAGACUCCUACGGGAGGCAGCAGUGGGGAAUAUUGCACAAUGGGCGGAAGCCUGAUGCAGCAACGCCGCGUGCGGGAUGACGGCCUUCGGGUUGUAAACCGCUUUCAGCAGGGGCGAAGCUUGUGGUGACGGUACCUGCAGAAGAAGCACCGGCUAACUACGUG